GAUGAACGUUGGCGGUGCGCCUAAUACAUGCAAGUCGAACGGAGACUGUAGUAAUACUGUCUUAGUGGCGAACGGGUGGUAACGCGUUGGUGAUCUGCCUCGAAGUGUGGAAUAACGUUCCGAAAGAGCACUAAUACCGCAUGGUCUUCUGGUUUUUAGAACGCCAGAUGUAAAGGAUUUAUUCGCUUCGAGAGGAGCCUGCGUCCCAUCAGCUAGUUGGUAAGGUAAUGGCUUACCAAGGCGAUGACGGGUAGGGGACCUGAGAGGGUGGCCCCCCACAAUGGAACUGAAACACGGUCCAUACACCUACGGGUGGCAGCAGUAGGGAAUAUUAGUAAUGGGCGAAAGCCUGAACUAGCGACACCGCGUGUGCGAAGAAGGCCUUCGGGUUGUAAAGCACUUUUAGAGAGGAUGAGGAAGGACGGUACUCUCUGAAUAAGUCUCGGCUAACUACGUG
rnacentral:rRNA from 1 species